GGUCAAGAUACAAAGGGCGUAUGGUGGAUGCCUUGGUACCAGGAGGCGAAGAAGGACGCGGCCAGCGGCGAAACGCCACGGGGAGUUGCAAGCAAACCUAGAUCCGUGGAUAUCCGAAUGGGGGAACCCAAUAGAGGCAAACCUCUAUUAUCCCUGCCUGAAUAUAUAGGGCAGGCGAAGCCAGACCCGGGGAACUGAAACAUCUUAGUACCCGGAGGAAAAGAAAUCAAGCGAGAUUUCCAAAGUAGCGGCGAGCGAAAUGGAAAGAGCCCAAACCUGUUAUGUGUAAGCCUGCAAGCGUUGCAUAACAGGGGUAGUGGGGCAAACCGGAGCAAGAUGCAGCUUGCUCAUGGAGUUACAAAAUAACUGUUUAGCCGAAUGGAUCUGGAAAGAUCAGCCACAGGGAGUGAAAGCCUCGUAGGCCAAAAGCAGUUAUCUCCAGGUAAAGACCCCGAGUACCGCCGGACACGUGGAACCCGGUGGGAAGCAGGGAGGACCACCUUCCAAGGCUAAAUACUACCUGGUAACCGAUAGCGAACAGUACCGUGAGGGAAAGGUGAAAAGCACCCCGGGAGGGGAGUGAAAUAGAACCUGAAACCAUAUGCUUACAAACAGUCGGAGCACUAUUCAGAGGUCAGAGGCCAGAGAUCAAAGGAGCAGGAAAGGUUCUUUGAUUUGCGGCCUCAGACUUCUGAAGUGUGACGGCGUACCUUUUGUAGAAUGGGCCAGCGAGUUAUGGUAGCAAGCAAGGUUAAGUCUAAAAAGGAUGGAGCCGCAGCGAAAGCGAGUCUUAACAGGGCGUUAAGUUUGCUGCUAUAGACCCGAAACUGGGUGAUCUAUCCAUGGCCAGGGUGAAGCGAUGGUAACACAUCGUGGAGGCCCGAACCAGAGUACGUUGAAAAGUGCGUGGAUGAGCUGUGGAUAGGGGUGAAAUGCCAAUCGAACCCAGAGAUAGCUGGUUCUCCCCGAAAUAGCUUUAGGGCUAGCGUUAUAUGAUUCCUUAUGGGGGUAGAGCACUGGUUAGGCUAGGGGCCUUACCCGGUUACCGAACCUUCCCAAACUCCGAAUACCAUAAGGUAUAGUAUAGCAGUCAGACAGUGGGUAAUAAGGUCCAUUGUCGAGAGGGAAACAGCCCAGACCGCCAGCUAAGGUCCCCAAAUCUAUGCUAAGUGGGAAAGGAUGUAGGGUUGCCCAGACAGCCAGGAUGUUGGCUUAGAAGCAGCCACCAUUCAAAGAGUGCGUAAUAGCUCACUGGUCAAGUGACCCUGCGCCGAAAAUUCAACGGGGCUAAGCAUAGUACCGAAGCUGCGGAUAGCAGAAGUCGGAAGUCAGAGGUAAGAGGUCAGAAUAGGGAGAUAUGAUGGCUAUAACGAGUUAUGAAGACCAGCAUGUGUACCGAGAAGGGUAUACACUAGCAGGAUCUUGGUUAUAUAGACCAAAGUUUACAUGACAAUCUACGCCAAAGCUAUGAUAACCUGACCAAAAAACUAUACCGUCUGAUAGAAAGAUGGAGAAAAGAAGUUGAGGCAAACGGAUAAGAGUCCGACCUCAGCCCUCUGACUUCUGACUUCUGCUGUGGUAGGGGAGCGUUCUUAAUGGGCAGAAGCCGUACCGUGAGGAGCGGUGGACAAUUAAGAAGUGAGAAUGCUGGCAUAAGUAAGCGAGAAGGCAGGUGAGAAUCCUGCCCGCCGUAAACCUAAGGUUUCCUGGGGAAGGCUCGUCCGCCCAGGGUAAGCCGGGACCUAAGCCGAGGCCAAAAGGCGUAGGCGAUGGACAACUGGUUGAGAAUCCAGUGCCACCUAAAGCCGCUAUGAGCGAUGGGGUGACGCAGGAGGAUAAGUGAAGCGUACGAAUGGAAGAGUACGUCCAAGCAUUUAGGAGGCAGAGUAGGCAAAUCCGCUCUGUAGAAACUCUAAGGUGUGAAGGGGAGGGAAGCGUAGUACCGAAGUCACCGAUUCCAAACUGCCAAGAAAAGCCUCUAGCCAGGUCAGGGUGCCCGUACCGUAAACCGACACAGGUAGGUGAGGAGAGAAUCCUAAGGCGCGCGAGAGAACCCUCGUUAAGGAACUCGGCAAAAUGACCCCGUAACUUAGGGAGAAGGGGUGCUCUGUUAGCGUGAAAGCAAUUGAGCGUGAGAGAGCCGCAGUGAUCAGGCCCAGGCGACUGUUUAGCAAAAACACAGGUCUCUGCAAAAUCGUAAGAUGACGUAUAGAGGCUGACGCCUGCCCGGUGCCGGAAGGUUAAGGGGAGAGGUUAGCGCAAGCGAAGCUUUGAACCGAAGCCCCGGUGAACGGCGGCCGUAACUAUAACGGUCCUAAGGUAGCGAAAUUCCUUGUCUGGUAAGUUCAGACCCGCACGAAAGGCGUAACGAUCUGGGCACUGUCUCGACGAGGGGCUCGGUGAAAUUGUAAUACCGGUGAAGAUGCCGGUUACCUGCGAUAGGACAGAAAGACCCCGUGGAGCUUUACUGCAGCUUGAUAUUGGACUUUGGUAGUACAUGUACAGAAUAGGUGGGAGACAGGGAAAACAGGUCGCAAGGCUUGUUGGAGUCACCAUUGGGAUACCACUCUUGUAUUGCUGAAGUUCUAACCUGGCACCGUAAUCCGGUGCAGGGACAUUGUCAGGCAGGCAGUUUGACUGGGGCGGUCGCCUCCGAAAGAGUAACGGAGGCGCCCAAAGGUUCCCUCAGCGCGGAUGGAAACCGCGCGCAGAGUGUAAAGGCAGAAGGGAGCUUGACUGCGAGAGAGACAUCUCGAGCAGAGACGAAAGUCGGGCUUAGUGAUCCGGCGGUACCGAGUGGAAGGGCCGUCGCUCAUCGGAUAAAAGCUACCCCGGGGAUAACAGGCUUAUCUCCCCCAAGAGUUCACAUCGACGGGGAGGUUUGGCACCUCGAUGUCGGCUCAUCACAUCCUGGGGCUGGAGAAGGUCCCAAGGGUUGGGCUGUUCGCCCAUUAAAGUGGUACGUGAGCUGGGUUCAGAACGUCGUGAGACAGUUCGGUCCCUAUCCAUCGCAGGCGCAGGAGAAUUGAGAGGAUCUGUCCCUAGUACGAGAGGACCGGGAUGGACAGACCGCUGGUGUACCAGUUGUCUCGCCAGAGGCACAGCUGGGUAGCUAUGUCUGGAUGUGAUAAGCGCUGAAAGCAUCUAAGCGCGAAGCCAACCUCAAGAUGAGUUCUCCCACCUGGCACCUAGUGCCAGGGUAAGAUCCCAUCAAGACUAGGUGGUUGAUAGGCCGGGUGUGUAAGUGCAGCGAUGCAUUAAGCUGACCGGUACUAAUAGAUCGAGGGCUUGACCAU
rfam:Syntrophomonas zehnderi OL-4 genome assembly, contig: OL-4DRAFT_scaffold-26